CCUACGGAGGCAGCAGUGGGGAAUAUUGGACAAUGGGCGAAAGCCUGAUCCAGCCAUGCCGCGUGUGUGAAGAAGGCCUUCGGGUUGUAAAGCACUUUCAGUGGGGAAGAAAGCCUUGGGGCUAAUACCCUCGAGGAAGGACAUCACCCACAGAAGAAGCACCGGCUAACUCCGUGCCAGCAGCCGCGGUAAUACGGAGGGUGCGAGCGUUAAUCGGAAUUACUGGGCGUAAAGCGCGCGUAGGCGGUCUGAUAAGCCGGUUGUGAAAGCCCCGGGCUCAACCUGGGAACGGCAUCCGGAACUGUCAGGCUAGAGUGCAGGAGAGGAAGGUAGAAUUCCCGGUGUAGCGGUGAAAUGCGUAGAGAUCGGGAGGAAUACCAGUGGCGAAGGCGGCCUUCUGGACUGACACUGACGCUGAGGUGCGAAAGCGUGGGUAGCAAACAGGAUUAGAUACCCGAGUAGUC
rnacentral:rRNA from 1 species